CCCUAGCCCAGAUUGCAGCAAUUGUCUGAGCUCAUUUCUUUGUUUCCGGCGGCGGCAAAGCCGCCGCCGGAAACAAAGAAAUAGCGAGUGCGGAAAGCUGGAAAAAGC
rnacentral:misc_RNA from 1 species